CAAGUAAGACAGGUAAUCGCGGCUGUCAGGACCGAAAGGGGACAGGCGAGGAAAGUCCGGGCUUCAUAGGGCAGGAUGCCGGAUAACGUCCGGUGGAGGUGACUCCAAGGCAAGUGCAACAGAAAUAUACCGCCUGUGCAUGCAGGUAAGGGUGGAAUGGCAGUUUAAGAGACUACCGCUUCUCUGGUAACAGCGAAGGCAGAUGUAAACCCCAUCCGAAGCAAGACCGGAUAAAGACGAUGUGGCGGCCCGUCACGUCUUAGGUAGGUCGCUUGAACCUGCCGGUAACGGCAGGUCUAGAAAGAUGAUUACCCAACGACAUAACCCGGCUUAUCGUUUUGCUUGCAUA
rnacentral:RNase_P_RNA from 2 species